rnacentral:rRNA from 1 species
GAGAGUUUGAUCCUGGCUCAGGAUGAACGCUAGCUACAGGCUUAACACAUGCAAGUCGAGGGGCAGCAUGGUCUUAGCUUGCUAAGGCCGAUGGCGACCGGCGCACGGGUGAGUAACACGUAUCCAACCUGCCGUCUACUCUUGGACAGCCUUCUGAAAGGAAGAUUAAUACAAGAUGGCAUCAUGAGUCCGCAUGUUCACAUGAUUAAAGGUAUUCCGGUAGACGAUGGGGAUGCGUUCCAUUAGAUAGUAGGCGGGGUAACGGCCCACCUAGUCUUCGAUGGAUAGGGGUUCUGAGAGGAAGGUCCCCCACAUUGGAACUGAGACACGGUCCAAACUCCUACGGGAGGCAGCAGUGAGGAAUAUUGGUCAAUGGGCGAGAGCCUGAACCAGCCAAGUAGCGUGAAGGAUGACUGCCCUAUGGGUUGUAAACUUCUUUUAUAAAGGAAUAAAGUCGGGUAUGGAUACCCGUUUGCAUGUACUUUAUGAAUAAGGAUCGGCUAACUCCGUGCCAGCAGCCGCGGUAAUACGGAGAUCCGAGCGUUAUCCGGAUUUAUUGGGUUUAAAGGGAGCGUAGAUGGAUGUUUAAGUCAGUUGUGAAAGUUUGCGGCUCAACCGUAAAAUUGCAGUUGAUACUGGAUAUCUUGAGUGCAGUUGAGGCAGGCGGAAUUCGUGGUGUAGCGGUGAAAUGCUUAGAUAUCACGAAGAACUCCGAUUGCGAAGGCAGUCUGCUAAGCUGCAACUGACAUUGAGGCUCGAAAGUGUGGGUAUCAAACAGGAUUAGAUACCCUGGUAGUCCACACGGUAAACGAUGAAUACUCGCUGUUUGCGAUAUACUGCAAGCGGCCAAGCGAAAGCGUUAAGUAUUCCACCUGGGGAGUACGCCGGCAACGGUGAAACUCAAAGGAAUUGACGGGGGCCCGCACAGGCGGAGGAACAUGUGGUUUAAUUCGAUGAUACGCGAGGAACCUUACCCGGGCUUAAAUUGCAGAUGAAUUACGGUGAAAGCCGUAAGCCGCAAGGCAUCUGUGAAGGUGCUGCAUGGUUGUCGUCAGCUCGUGCCGUGAGGUGUCGGCUUAAGUGCCAUAACGAGCGCAACCCUUGUUGUCAGUUACUAACAGGUUCUGCUGAGGACUCUGACAAGACUGCCAUCGUAAGAUGUGAGGAAGGUGGGGAUGACGUCAAAUCAGCACGGCCCUUACGUCCGGGGCUACACACGUGUUACAAUGGGGGGUACAGAGGGCCGCUACCACGCGAGUGGAUGCCAAUCCCAAAAACCUCUCUCAGUUCGGACUGGAGUCUGCAACCCGACUCCACGAAGCUGGAUUCGCUAGUAAUCGCGCAUCAGCCACGGCGCGGUGAAUACGUUCCCGGGCCUUGUACACACCGCCCGUCAAGCCAUGGGAGCCGGGGGUACCUGAAGUGCGUAACCGCGAGGAGCGCCCUAGGGUAAAACUGGUGACUGGGGCUAAGUCGUAACAAGGUAGCCG